rnacentral:rRNA from 5 species
GGCCGGGAACUCAAAGGAGACUGCCAGUGAUAAACUGGAGGAAGGUGGGGAUGACGUCAAGUCAUCAUGGCCCUUACGACCAGGGCUACACACGUGCUACAAUGGCGCAUACAAAGAGAAGCGACCUCGCGAGAGCAAGCGGACCUCAUAAAGUGCGUCGUAGUCCGGAUUGGAGUCUGCAACUCGACUCCAUGAAGUCGGAAUCGCUAGUAAUCGUGGAUCAGAAUGCCACGGUGAAUACGUUCCCGGGCCUUGUACACACCGCCCGUCACACCAUGGGAGUGGGUUGCAAAAGAAGUAGGUAGCUUAACCUUCGGGAGGGCGCUUACCACUUUGUGAUUCAUGACUGGGGUGAAGUCGUAACAAGGUAACCGUAGGGGAACCUGCGGUUGGAUCACCUCCUUACCUUAAAGAA